AGGCUACUGCUAUUGGAAUUCGACUAAGCCAUGCGAGUCAAGGUGUCUUCGGACGCCGGCAAACGGCUCAGUAACACGUAGGUAAUCUACCCUCAGGACUGAGAUAACCCCGGGAAACUGGGGCUAAUACCAGAUAGAUAAAAGAUGCUGGAAUGUUCUUUUAUCCAAAGCUUUUGUGCCUGAGGAUGAGCCUGCGCCCGAUUAGGUAGUUGGUGGGGUAAUGGCCCACCAAGCCUGCGAUCGGUACGGGCAGUGGGAGCUGUAGCCCGGAGUUGGGGACUGAGACAAGGCCCCAGGCCCUACGGGGCGCAGCAGGCGCGAAACCUCUGCAAUGCGGGAAACCGUGACAGGGGGAUUCCAAGUGCUCAUGCAUUGCAUGGGCUGUUCUUUGGUCUAAGUAACCAGAGGAGUAAGAGCCGGGCAAGACCGGUGCCAGCCGCCGCGGUAAUACCGGCGGCUCGAGUGGUGGCCACUAUUACUGGGCUUAAAGCGUCCGUAGCUUGGUUGUUAAGUCUCCUGGGAAAUCCAUCGGCUCAACCGAUGGGCGUUCAGGAGAUACUGGCAACCUAGGGACCGGGAGAGGUGAGAGGUACUCCAGGGGUAGGAGUGAAAUCCUGUAAUCCUUGGGGGACCACCUGUGGCGAAGGCGUCUCACUAGAACGGCUCCGACAGUGAGGGACGAAAGCUGGGGGAGCAAACCGGAUUAGAUACCCGGGUAGUCCCAGCUGUAAACGAUGCGCGUUAGGUGUAUCGGUGACCACGAGUCACCGAGGUGCCGAAGGGAAACCGUGAAACGUGCCGCCUGGGAAGUACGGUCGCAAGGCUGAAACUUAAAGGAAUUGGCGGGGGAGCACCACAACAGGUGGAGCCUGCGGUUUAAUCGGACUCAACGCCGGGAAGCUCACCGGAUAAGACAGCUGAAUGAUAGCCGGGUUGAAGACNNUGCUUGACUAGCUGAGAGGAGGUGCAUGGCCGUCGUCAGUUCGUACUGUGAAGCAUCCUGUUAAGUCAGGCAACGAGCGAGACCCACGCCAACAGUUGCCAGCAUGUCCUCCGGGAUGGUGGGGACACUGUUGGGACCGCNNNUGCUAAAGAGGAGGAAGGAAUGGGCAACGGUAGGUCAGCAUGCCCCGAAUUAUCCGGGCUACACGCGGGCUACAAUGGUCAGGACAAUGGGUAUCAACACCGAAAGGUGAAGGCAAUCUCCUAAACCUGUCCUUAGUUCGGAUUGUGGGCUGCAACUCGCCCACAUGAAGCUGGAAUCUGUAGUAAUCGCGUCUCAAAAUGGCGCGGUGAAUAUGUCCCUGCUCCU
rnacentral:rRNA from 1 species